CCUACGGAUGGCAGCAGUGGGGAAUAUUGGGCAAUGGACGCAAGCCUGACCCAGCAACGCCGCGUGAAUGAAGAAGGCUUUCGGGUUGUAAACUUCUUUUCAGAGGGAAGAGGAGAAGACGGUACCUCUUGAAUUAACCCCGGGUAACCACGUUCCAGCCGCCGAGGGAAUACGUAGGUGGGCAGCUGUUUACGGAUUUACUGGGGGGAAAGGGGGUGCAGGCGGGCAAACAAGUAAGAUGUGAAAUCCCGGGGCUCAACCGCGGGACUACCAUUGAAACUGUUUGUCUUGAGUACCGGAGAGGCAAUUGGAAUUCCUUGUGUAGCGGUGGAAUGCGUAGAUAUAAGGAAGAACACCAGUGGCGAAGGCGGAUGGCUGGACGGUAACUGACGGUGAGGCGCGAAAGCGUGGGGAGCAAACAGGAUUAGAUACCCGAGUAGUC
rnacentral:rRNA from 1 species